GCUUGUCUCAAAGAUUAAGCCAUGCAUGUCUAAGUAUAAACUGCUUAUACUGUGAAACUGCGAAUGGCUCAUUAAAUCAGUUAUAGUUUAUUUGAUGGUACCUACUACUCGGAUAACCGUAGUAAUUCUAGAGCUAAUACGUGCGCACAACCCGACUUCUGGAAGGGUCGUAUUUAUUAGAUAAAAGGCCAGCCGGGCUUUGCCCGACCUGCGGUGACUCUGAAUAACUUUGGGCUGAUCGUAUGGCCUUGUGCCGACGACGUUUCCUUCGAAGGUGUGCCCUAUCAACUGUCGACUGUGAUAUAGACGCUCACAGUGGUUUUGACGGGUAACGGGGAAUCAGGGUUCGAUUCCGGAGAGGGAGCCUUAAAAACGGCUACCACAUCCAAGGAAGGCAGCAGG
rnacentral:rRNA from 1 species